rnacentral:misc_RNA from 1 species
GUUCAAUAUUCUUGCCCUGAGGGUAAUGCUCACCUGAUAAGUAGGAGUCCUCUUCAGCAAAAGAUUGGUCAUCAUCUUCAUCCUUUCUUGGUGCCCUGUCGUGUGGAUCAGGGACGCUACCAUGCCCAGUACCCUUAUCAUUGUCACUUGGGUAGUCGACCUCAUGAGCCAGAAACCAAGUUUCAUCUUCAAUAGGUUGUCUUGUGUACCCAACAUCCUCA